rnacentral:lncRNA from 1 species
AACAUCAGCAACUUUCAGUGUAGCUCUGGUAUCAUUAUCAUAUAUUGAACGCUGUAGAAUUGCAUCUUACUACUAUUCUAAUAUUAGGAACUCUCCGUUCGCUUUAGGAUCAUUAUCAUUGAUCUUAUAUAUUGAGAAGCGCAGUCUUGGUCCUUUGAACAGCUACUCUCAUAACCCUUCACCAUCGCGGAAACGUAAUAAACGUAAGUAACUAACUGAUACAUGUAUUUCCUAGAUAUACAUUUAUCAUACCACUAUCGCAACAGACUCAUCUCAACCCGGAUCUGGAGCCGCGAGGAGCUAAUGACGCCAUCCGACAACUUGGGCCAGUGCAGAAAAUCAAUUAAAUACAAGGAGCAAUAUGCCCACAAUGUAAUGACCGACCACCAGUGACCAGUUGACCCACGACCACCACCACCACCACCACUACCACCAUCAGUCGCCCAUGAUGAAGGCUGGCAUAAUAAUGAUAAACUGUCAAAACUACACGAUAUGCCAGAUCAUAUCUGCGGAUUGCAAUCCCCGCUGGCCAGGAGCAAACCACCACCGCCACCAGCACCGGCAGGUCGGAUCGGAUGUGGUGGUACCCACGCGCCCAACACAUUAACACGGCCCAAGGAUCGAGGACCUGACUGUCGAUCGCAACUUUAUGACUCCUAUUCGUUCGCUUUUCCACAACCAUUUGCAUCGUUUUGGUGCAAUGCCCUUGACAUUGUUGGUUGUUGGGUGGG